rnacentral:lncRNA from 1 species
AAAAUCUGUAUUUUGGUGACAUAAAUCAAUCUUGAUUUAAAACCUGGUCUGUUAAUGGGUCGGAUGUAUAAAACCCGGUCUGUUAAUUGGUCUGUUAAGAGUUAUGAAUGACAAUAAAAGUGUAAUUUUAUUACUUUAUUGUGUGUUAAUUUGGUAGGCUCAAGACGAGCGGCUAAAAUAUACGGAAACAACACUUGAGCAAUGGAACAUAAAAU